CAAUGCUGCACAUGAUGUUUGUUAGGUAGUUUGCAGUUUUUAAUCGUAAUUCUGGUGGCUUCCACAGUUUUUACUGCACUUGGAAGUAGGAGUGUGCUAAUUGGGGCAAAGUCCAGCUCAGCUCAACUCUGCUCUGCACUCCUAUAGCACCAUUUUCCCUGCAGGCUGAAGAUGUUUGCAAACAACCGUCCACCAGCACGAGACCAACACUUAUACACUUUGGUGGUCCGGGGGAGGAAGAUGUAUGAGCUACUCAGUGGCAUCAAUGAUGCUAUGGAGACCCUCGACAAGAGUCAAGCAGCCCUUAACAAUGUUAAUGAAGCCCUCUUCCAGAGCAUCAGUCCUUUUAAGGAGGCCUCUGACGAUGGUCGUGGAUCCACUGGCCACAGUGCGAGUGAUGUUAUGGAGGCCCCUGACGAUGGUCAAGUGUCCCCCGAUGAUGUUCAUGGAUCCCCUGGCCACAGUCUGAGUCAUUGUAUGGAGGCUAGGACUGCUGAGAAGGAUGGUAACAAAGGUCCAUGAAGAGGAAGCCAUGGUAAAGAGUGCACCUUCAGACUGAGAUUCAUAAACAUGCACAUACAUGUGAUCAUACACACAAAUCAUCCACAUGUACACCACACAACACACUCUAUAGACAGACAGAUAGACACACACACACACACACACACAAACACACACAAUAUUGACUUUAAAUAAAAUCCCAGUAAAGA